GACUACGGGGGCUGUCUGUACAGCGUUUGUACAGCACUAGGGAGCUGUACCGCGUACGUUUUCUCCAAGAUCUUCAGUUUCCUUCCACAAUCCAAAGCUGUACAGGUUUGUGGGAAUGAUGUAAACAAA